GAUGAACGCUGGCGGCGUGCCUAAUACAUGCAAGUCGAGCGAACAGACGAUGAGCUUGCUUCUCUGACGUUAGCGGCGGACGUGUGAGUAACACAUGUAUAACCUACCUAUAAGACUGGGAUAACUUCGGGAAACCGGAGCUAAUACCGGAUAAUAUAUUGAACCGCAUGGUUCAAUAGUGAAAGACGGUUUUGCUGUCACUUAUAGAUGGAUCUGCGCCGCAUUAGCUAGUUGGUAAGGUAACGGCUUACCAAGGCAACGAUGCGUAGACGACCUGAGAGGGUGAUAGGCCACACUGGAACUGAGACACGGUCCAGGCUCCUACGGGAGGCCGCAGUCGGGAACCUUCCGCAAUGGGCGAAAGCCUGACGGAGCAACGCCGCGUGAGUGAUGAAGGUCUUCGGAUCGUAAAACUCUGUUAUUAGGGAAGAACAAAUGUGUAAGUAACUAUGCACGUCUUGACGGUAACUAAUCAGAAAGCCACGGCUAACUACGUG
rnacentral:rRNA from 1 species